rnacentral:piRNA from 1 species
UGGUCUGCCACAAGAUGAUGUAAAAAGCG